rnacentral:tRNA from 1 species
GCCCCCGUAGCUCAGACAUUGAUCGAGCAGAGAUCGAAGGUGGAGAACUGGUUAGAGCGACGGCCUUGUAAGCCGUUGAUCCGGGGUUCGAAUCCCCGCGGGGGCU